rnacentral:rRNA from 1 species
CAGUUCGGAUUGCAGGCUGCAACUCGCCUGUAUGAAGUCGGAAUUGCUAGUAAUCGCGGAUCAGCAUGCCGCGGUGAAUACGUUCCCGGGCCUUGUACACACCGCCCGUCACACCAUGAGAGCCGGGAACACCCGAAGUCCGUAGUCUAACCGUAAGGAGGACGCGGCCGAAGGUGGGUUUGGUAAUUGGGGUGAAGUCGUAACAAGGUAGC